UGAAAGGAGAAGAGACACAGGGAUGC
rnacentral:piRNA from 1 species